rnacentral:rRNA from 1 species
CAGGCCUAACACAUGCAAGUCGAGCGGUGAACCCUUCGGGGGGAUCAGCGGCGAACGGGUGAGUAACACGUGAGCAACCUGCCCCGCACUCUGGGAUAGCCUCGGGAAACCGGGAUUAGUACCGGAUAUGACACCGCCUCGCAUGGGGUGGUGUGGAAAGUUUAUCGGUCAGGGAUGGGCUCGCGGCCUAUCAGCUUGUUGGUGGGGUGAUGGCCUACCGAUGCGACGACGGGUAGCCGGCCCGAGAGGGUGACCGGCCACACUGGGACUGAGACACGGCCCAGACUCCUACGGGAGGCAGCAGUGGGGAAUAUUGCGCAAUGGGCGAAAGCCUGACGCAGCGACGCCGCGUGAGGGAUGAAGGCCUUCGGGUUGUCAACCUCUUUCAGCAGGGAAGAAGCGCAAGUGACGGUACCUGCAUAAGAAGCACCGGCUAACUACGUGCCAGCAGUCGCGGUAAU